UCAAGUUCAAAACAAAAAACUCUUUGGAAUUUUGAUUGCGAUUUUGCUUAAAAUUAGAGAUUACUUUGGGGAGAAUAGUGGUCUUUGCAAUUUUGAAUCUUCCUACCCAAGAACAUGAAAAACAGGAUGAAGUUGUCUAUUACGAUCCAUGUGAAAGUCCAGAGGAACUUAGUCAUUGACUGUGGUGGGGCUGCAGGACGAUAAGAAUUUGGAAGUGAAAGAACUCAGAAGGCAGUGCCAGCAGCUGGAGUCUAUUAAACGGGGCAGGAUCUGUGUCAAAAGAGCUUCUCUCCAGAGUAGAAAGGAUCAGUGCAAAGAAAAUCAUUGGCUCAGAUUGCAACAGGCUGAAGAAAGCAUAAGAUAUUCUCGUCAGCAUCACAGUAUUCAGAUGAAAAGAGACAAGAUAAAAAGGAGCAAAAGAAAAAAGAAUGGAUCAACCAAGAAAGUCAAACACUCCAACGAUUGAGAGCAUUUAAAGAUGUAAGUUCUGUAAACAAUCACCUCAUCUACACUUCUGGGGAAUUAUGAAGACCGCUCUAAAGAGGAAAGUAUUAAGAACAGGUCAUUCAGAACGUGAAACAUUUAAAAAGUAACAUUAUUUCUGGUAUAUCAAUAAAAAGCAACAACAAAAAUAGAAUAUCAGUGAUUCAAAACCCAUGAUAUAAAAUAACUGCUGUUUUUGACAUCACAACACGCUUGGGUUCCUGCUCUGCACUCUUCACUGAGUAGUCCUUACUGGCACUGGUGGUUUAGAUUGGCAGGGAAAACUGAAAACUGUUCAACUCCCUUGACUUUAGCUGGCAUUUCCUCUCAUUUGUAAUAAACAAUUCUUUAAAAUGUUAUCCAGGCAGCAUUGUGAUAUAAGUGUAGUGAAAGUGCCCAGUUAAAAGUAAAAUGUGUUGUUUUUUUUUUU
rnacentral:lncRNA from 1 species